GCGGCCCCUCUGCAUCUCCAUAGUGCGGCAUCCACUGAGAUCUUCACUUUCCAUUAAGCAUCCAAAAACUCCCAUUCCACUCCUCUAUAAAGUGAUUGAAGCAAACCAGAAAGGAGAAAAUCGACCACACAGUAACAAAAAAAAUGGAGCAGAAGUACUCCAUUUUCCUCUUCUCCUUCCUCGUAAUAAUCAUGACCUUAUUCUUAUAUCUCAGCAACAACACGGUUUCAUCAUCUUCUUCUUCUUUCAGAUGCAAUGGUUCAAUAGUAGAGUGCAGUGAAGAUUACGAGUUGUUGAUGGAAUCGGAAAUCAGCAGAAGGAUUCUUGAACAGAAGAAAUAUAUAUCACCUGGUGCACUGAAGGGAGAUGAACCAGUUUGUAAUGGUGGUGCUAGUGGCCAGUCUUAUAGCAGCAGUUGUUUGCCUCCAUCUUCCAAUCCUGAAACUCGUGGUUGUUCUAAGUACUACCGUUGUAGGUCUGAUUCUUGAUGAAUCUAAUUAAGCUGUUUUUUUUUUAAAAAAAAUUUAAUUUCAUCUGCUUAUAAUUUUCUAUUUUUUUUCUGUAUUUUGACAAUUGAAUGUUAAUAUAUUGAAUCACCA
rnacentral:misc_RNA from 1 species